GACGAACGCUGGCGGCGUGCUUAACACAUGCAAGUCGAACGGAAAGGCCCUGCUUUUGUGGGGUGCUCGAGUGGCGAACGGGUGAGUAACACGUGAGUAACCUGCCCUUGACUUUGGGAUAACUUCAGGAAACUGGGGCUAAUACCGGAUAGGAGCUCCUGCUGCAUGGUGGGGGUUGGAAAGUUUCGGCGGUUGGGGAUGGACUCGCGGCUUAUCCGCUUGUUGGUGGGGUAGGGGCUUACCAAGGCUUUGACGGGUAGCCGGCCUGAGAGGGUGACCGGCCACAUGGGGAUGGAGAUACGGCCCAGCCCCCUACGGGAGGCAGCGGGGGGGAAUAUUGCACAAUGGGCGGAGGCCUGAUGCAGCAACGCCGGGUGCGGGAGGACGGCCUUCGGGUUGUAAACCGUUUUCGCCUGUGACGAAGCGUGGGUGACGGUAAUGGGUAAAGAAGCACCGGCUAACUACGU
rnacentral:rRNA from 1 species